GUGAGGUGCUACUCUUGACUGUGGGGAGGUCUAGUUCCCAUGGUCUGGGCAGGAGUCUGUGACCACUCAUUCUAUGGAAUCCAAAGUAGCUCACUUCUGUGAUGCUAGGAAACUAGUACUUAGUACACAGGUAAAUUUUGGGUUUUUCCAUUUAAAUCCCCGUGGAUGGGAAAGAGUCCUCGACUUAUUUCUCACUUAUUUGUCUCAUUGUCUGCCUAAUGGAAUCGGGUGGGUGGUUUGCCGCUGAGCUUUGAUGACUGUGACAUGCCAUGCCUGGUGGGAGCUUGUUGGAUGGAAAAGGUAGGGAGCUGACAACAGUGAGAAUCUCCGUGGGCAGCAAAUCUGAGCUGCCAUGUGUUCUAAUUAAUAUUCCAUAAAUCUUUUAGGUCUCAGCUUCCAAGCCACUUCCUCAAGGAAGGCUUUUCUGACUCGGCCAAAAUAAUGUUUCUCUUCCAUAUUUCACAGGUCCAUGUACCUCUCCUUCUAUCAUGCUCAUCCAAUUUCCAAAUACUUGUCCAUCUUUCCCCAUAGCCUGUACUCUCCACAAAAGAUGGGAACCAUGUCAAUAUCACUACUACUUUCAAUUGUGUGUAGACUGGAUGCCCACCGUUUUUUUUUUUUUUUUUUUUUUUUUCUUUUGAGUGUAGCACUUGUAUCUUAGAAAGUGUCAAUUCUUGUGCUGGACUUUAAGCAUAGCUUUAAGAAAAUUUUCCACUUCACCUCUAGGCUUUUUUUUUUUUUUUUAAGUCAAGGUUCUUCUAGUUUCCUUGUUAAUAAUCUCAAGCUAAUGAAAACGCAAAUUUUCUCCUGUUUUAUAGGAGGGUGUUAUCGAAGACUGCAUGGGAGCUCGCUCAUCUGGCCAGGCUGUCUGCCUGCACAUCCGCUUGGAGGUGGACAUGAGGCAGUCACUUCAUUGCCUGGUAGGGAGUGAAGAAAGAACUAAGACCUUUUUGAUGGUUUAGGCUGUAAACCUGUGGGUGCUCUUGGAAGAUGUGGAGAAAGAGAGGCUAUACAAAUGGAAAUGAACCCCCCCCCACCGUCACCUCCCCCCCAUAUAUAGUGCCUGGAAGACAACUGCAGAGGAAGACAAUUUAGGAGCUUAAAGGACAUUUGUUCAUCAUUGGCAUUUCCCAGGAUAUCAGUUAGGUCACAGGUAGAGGCGACUCCCUCAGCCUGGGUCCAGUAGGAAGCUGACCUGGAGAAGCACCAUGGCUGAUCUGGGAUCAACGUGUAACCGGAACAGGAAGGAAGCCUCUGGAACUUGGAGUCAUUUGGUACCACAACACAACAGUCUAUCCUGACUGAUACAACAGUGAAAAUAUUUGGAGUCUCAUCAGUGGAAAUAAUUUUUGCACCUCUCCAUCUUUGAUUUCUUCUUAUAGAAAGUAAACCUUAUUACCAG